UUAAACCAUUACAUAAUUGGGUUACCUUGAUACUAGUGCCUUUUCACACCUACCAAUUAAGUAGAAGUGCUUGGAAUAGGUAACUCAAAUAUUAUCAUAUCAAUUGAUUAAUAUUCUCAUGUUUACUUAAAGGCUCUGAAUAAUUACACUCUCUUCUUGCUCUUUAGCUACCCCAGGAACCUGAAAGUUCAUUAAUUGCUGCCCAUCCUGCCCAGGAAGAGGAGUUGGCAGAGAGAGGAGAGAGUGAAGGUGCAUGUGCACCUCAGGAGCCUCCAGACUCAGCUGAUCUGCAAAUGUCUUGGAGCUCUCUUGAAGACUUUGAUUUCUGUGAAUGGAUUGGGAAAGGAAGUUAUGGAGCGGUGAGUUACUCAUCCCUAAAUAAGAUUCAGUUGUUUAUUAGCAUAUUCAGGGAAACUUAAUGAACUUGCUUUCAUUCCAGGUCUUUCUAGGAGAACAUAAGAAAACAAGAAAGUUGGUUGCCAUCAAACGUGUAUCAAAGGCAGUCGUUUUUAGCACUUUACAAAUGGAACGUCUUUUUGAGGAGAAAAGCAUCUUAAAGAUGGCGAGAGAUGAGAAAGCCCCUUUCCUUGUGGGUUUAGUCUGUUCAUUCCAGAGGAAACACAAUCUUUACUUAGCGAUGGAAUUUUGCACUGGAGGCGACUUAGCAGCUCAACUGAAAAAUGGUGCACUCCCAC